rnacentral:rRNA from 1 species
CAGAGGGUGCGAGCGUUGUUCGGAAUUAUUGGGCGUAAAGCGCGUGUAGGCGGCUUUGCAAGUCGGGUGUGAAAGCCCUCAGCUUAACCGAGGAAGUGCGCCCGAAACUGCAGAGCUUGAGUACCGGAGAGGAUGGUGGAAUUCCCCAAGUAGAGGUGAAAUUCGUAGAUAUGGGGAGGAACACCGGUGGCGAAGGCGACCAUCUGGACGGAUACUGACGCUGAGACGCGAAAGCGUGGUAGCAAACAGGAUUAGAUACCCUGGUAGUCCACGCCGUAAACGAUGAGAACUAGGUGUUGCGGGAGUUGACCCCUGCGGUGCCGAAGCUAACGCAUUAAGUUCUCCGCCUGGGAAGUACGGCCGCAAGGCUA